GAUGGACGCUGGCGGCGUGCCUAAUACAUGCAAGUAGAACGCUGAAGCUUGGUGCUUGCCCCGAGCGGAUGAGUUGCGAACGGGUGAGUAACGCGUAGGUAACCUGCCUCUUAGCGGGGGAUAACUAUUGGAAACGAUAGCUAAUACCGCAUAAAAGUCGAUAUCGCAUGAUAUUGAUUUGAAAGGUGCAAAUGCAUCACUAAGAGAUGGACCUGCGUUGUAUUAGCUAGUUGGUGAGGUAACGGCUCACCAAGGCGACGAUACAUAGCCGACCUGAGAGGGUGAUCGGCCACACUGGGACUGAGACACGGCCCAGACUCCUACGGGAGGCAGCAGUAGGGAAUCUUCGGCAAUGGGGGCAACCCUGACCGAGCAACGCCGCGUGAGUGAAGAAGGUUUUCGGAUCGUAAAGCUCUGUUGUAAGAGAAGAACGAGUGUGAGAGUGGAAAGUUCACACUGUGACGGUAACUUACCAGAAAGGGACGGCUAACUACGUG
rnacentral:rRNA from 1 species